rnacentral:rRNA from 1 species
GAUGAACGCUGGCGGCGUGCCUAAUACAUGCAAGUCGAGCGAACAGACGAGGAGCUUGCUCCUCUGACGUUAGCGGCGGACGGGUGAGUAACACGUGGAUAACCUACCUAUAAGACUGGGAUAACUUCGUGAAACCGGAGCUAAUACCGGAUAAUAUAUUGAACCGCAUGGUUCAAUAGUUAAAGACGGUUUUGCUGUCACUUAUAGAUGGAUCCGCGCCGCAUUAGCUAGUUGGUAAGGUAACGGCUUACCAAGGCAACGAUGCGUAGCCGACCUGAGAGGGUGAUCGGCCACACUGGAACUGAGACACGGUCCAGACUCCUACGGGAGGCAGCAGUAGGGAAUCUUCCGCAAUGGGCGAAAGCCUGACGGAGCAACGCCGCGUGAGUGAUGAAGGUCUUCGGAUCGUAAAACUCUGUUAUUAGGGAAGAACAAAUGUGUGAGUAACUAUGCACGUCUUGACGGUACCGUAUCAGAAAGCCACGGCUAACUACGUG